GUGCCACCGCGGUAAUACCAGCACCCCGAGUGGUCGGGACGAUUAUUGGGCCUAAAGCAUCCGUAGCCGGUCCUACAAGUCUUCCGUUAAAUCCACCUGCUUAACAGAUGGGCUGCGGAAGAUACUAUAGGGCUAGGAGGCGGGAGAGGCAAGCGGUACUCAGUGGGUAGGGGUAAAAUCCUCUGAUCCAUUGAAGACCACCAGUGGCGAAGGCGGCUUGCCAGAACGCGCUCGACGGUGAGGGAUGAAAGCUGGGGGAGCAAACCGG
rnacentral:rRNA from 1 species